rnacentral:rRNA from 1 species
AUUGAACGCUGGCGGCAUGCUUUACACAUGCACGUCGAACGAGUGGCGAACGUGUGAGUAAUAUAUCGGAACGUACCGAGUCAUGGGGGAUAACCAAUCGACAGAUUGGCUAAUACCGCAUAUUAUUCGAGCGGCCGAUAACUGAUUAGCUCGUUGGUGGGGUAAGGGCCUACCACGGCGACGAUCAGUAGCGGGUCUGAGAGGACGAUACGCCACACUGGGACUGAGACACGGCCCAGACUCCGACGGGAGGAAGCAGUGGGGAAUGUUGGACAAUGGGGGCAACCCUGAUCCAGCCAUGCCGCGUGUAUGAAGAAGGCCUUCGGUUUGUAAAGUACUUUUGUUAGGGAAGCGGUACCUAAAGAAUAAGCACCGGCUAACUACGUGCCAGCAGCCGCGUAAUAC